rnacentral:rRNA from 1 species
CGCGGUAAUACGUAGGGGGCGAGCGUUACCCGGAAUUACUGGGCGUAAAGGGUGCGUAGGCGGCCGUGUGUGUCUGGCGUUAAAGUCCACGGUUCAACUGUGGGUAUGCGCUGGAAACUGCACGGCUUGGGUGCAGCAGAGGCAGACGGAACUGCUGGUGUAGGGGUGAAAUCCGUAGAUAUCAGCAGGAACGCCGGUGGAGAAGUCGGUCUGCUGGGCUGUAACCGACGCUGAGGCACGAAAGCUAGGGGAGCAAACCGGAUUAGAUACCCGGGUAGUCCUAGCCGUAAACGAUGCUCACUUGGUGUGGGGGCGAAGGUCUCCGUGCUGAAGCUAACGCGAUAACUGAACCGUCCUG